GUCCACGUUCUGGGUCUGAGACCCAGCGUUUAUGUGUUUGGUCUUUUGUUUCUGGUUUAUUUAAUAUUCUGAGGUUAAGAUUCUGUUCCUGUUUUGGUUAUUAUAGUUCCUUCUGUUUAUAAAUGUAGUCGUAGGGCUUCUUAGUUUUGUCAUCUAGUAUUUAGGUUUCUGUUACCAUGCCUCCCCUAUGUUGCAGCUUCCAUGUUUAGUCAGUCUUGUCUUCGUGUUUGUUUUUCUCUCGUCUCCAUGUUAGGAGACAGAAAGGGAACACCAAAGUCAGUAAUGUUUCCAUGUCUGUUUCUCUCCAGUCCCAGUGUCAAGCUUGUGUGGCUCAGUCUUUGUCUCUGUGUUUAACGUACAUUCAGGUUUAUUUUGACAGUUUUUUGUCCUGUGUACAGAGUGUUUAGUUUUUUUCUUUCCCCUGCCCUGUUAGUCUGUAUUAGUUCCAGCUGUAUUCCCAUCUGUUGCCCUUCCUCUUGUGUAGUUUAGUCUUCAGUGUCCCUCUGCUCAUUGUCACGUCGUGGCCCAUUUGCUGUGUUUCCCUGUACUCUGUGGUUUUCAUUUUUCUAGUUCCCAGUUCAUAGUUUCUUCCUUAUUAGAGUUUCUUUGUAAUUAUUUUUUUUUUUUUGUAUUUACUUUAAAGUUCCUCCUUGAGUGAAUUCCCUUGUCUCUGAGUCCUGUGUUUGGGUCCUGCCUUGCCUGACACACAGCCGUUCAUGACACUUCUGCUGGUAGAGCUGCAUUACAUCCUAUCAGAUUGGUAAAAACAAAAGUUAAAAGCACAUACAAAGUAAUCAGAAGUCAGACUCAUUUAAAAGCCCAAGAAUAAAAAUGGAUCUGCAUGGAUGCGGGGCUGUGAGCACAUGUCCCACUAAAUAAUUUAGGGUUAUCAUGCCACCUUUAUUGUGUCCAAUUCUGACAGUUUAGUCAGAAUUAUGCACAUGACUCCUGGUAUGUCUUCCACACUCUUGAGGCUGUGCUGAGAGACACAGCAAACCUUUAUGUGACAGCACAUAUGGAUGUGCCCUUGAGGAGAAGCUGCAUUACCUGUGCAACUUAAAUGGGCUUCUGUGGUACCAGCAGUGACAAGGACACAAGCAAGAAACAAAACUAAAGCACAAUCAGUCAGGAAGGAUAAGGAGAGAAC
ensembl:lncRNA